GGGCGGUGUGUACAAAGGGCAGGGACGUAAUCAACGCAAGCUGAUGACUUGCGCUUACUAGGAAUUCCUCGUUGAAGAGCAAAAAUUACAAAGCUCUAUCCCCAGCACGACGGAGUUUCACAAGAUUACCAGGACCUCUCGGCCUAGGUUAGACUCGCUGGCUCCGUCAGUGUAGCGCGCGUGCGGCCCAGAACGUCUAAGGGCAUCACAGACCUGUUAUUGCCUCAAACUUCCAUCGACUUGAAAUCGAUAGUCCCUCUAAGAAGUGGAAGAACCAGCAAAUGCUAGCACCACUAUUUAGUAGGUUAAGGUCUCGUUCGUUAUCGCAAUUAAGCAGACAAAUCACUCCACCAACUAAGAACGGCCAUGCACCACCACCCACAAAAUCAAGAAAGAGCUCUCAAUCUGUCAAUCCUUAUUGUGUCUGGACCUGGUGAGUUUCCCCGUGUUGAGUCAAAUUAAGCCGCAGGCUCCACUCCUGGUGGUGCCCUUCCGUCAAUUCCUUUAAGUUUCAGCCUUGCGACCAUACUCCCCCCAGAACCCGAAGACUUUGAUUUCUCGUAAGGUGCCGAGUGGGUCAUUAAAAAAACACCACCCGAUCCCUAGUCGGCAUAGUUUAUGGUUAAGACUACGACGGUAUCUGAUCAUCUUCGAUCCCCUAACUUUCGUUCUUGAUUAAUGAAAACGUCCUUGGCAAAUGCUUUCGCAGUAGUUAGUCUUCAAUAAAUCCAAGAAUUUCACCUCUGACAAUUGAAUACUGAUGCCCCCGACCGUCCCUAUUAAUCAUUACGAUGGUCCUAGAAACCAACAAAAUAGAACCAAACGUCCUAUUCCAUUAUUCCAUGCUAAUAUAUUCGAGCAAUACGCCUGCUUUGAACACUCUAAUUUUUUCAAAGUAAAAGUCCUGGUUCGCCAAGGACCCACAAGGAGCCCAAGGUUAGCCAGAAGGAAAGGCCCGGUUGCAUUCCAGUACGUGGCAAAAAGCCAGACCGGCCAACCAGGCCCAAAGUUCAACUACGAG
rnacentral:rRNA from 1 species